rnacentral:misc_RNA from 1 species
GAUGAAGAACGCAGUGAAAUGCGAUACGUAAUGUGAAUUGCAGAAUUCAGUGAAUCAUCGAAUCUUUGAACGCACAUUGCGCCCGCCAGUAUUCUGGCGGGCAUGCCUGUUCGAGCGUCAUUUCAACCAUCAAGCCCCCGGCUUGUGUUGGGGACCUGCGGCUGCCGCAGGCCCUGAAAACCAGUGGCGGGCUCGCUAGUCACUCCGAGCGUAGUAAUACAUCUCGCUCAGGGCGUGCUGCGGGUUCCGGCCGUUAAAAGCCUUAUUUACCCAAGGUUGACCUCGGAUCAGGUAGGAAGACCCGCUGAACUUAAGCAUAUCAAUAAGCGGAGGA